rnacentral:rRNA from 1 species
ACGAACGCUGGCGGCAGGCUUAACACAUGCAAGUCGAACGCCCCGCAAGGGGAGUGGCAGACGGGUGAGUAACACGUGGGAACGUGCCCGAAGGUACGGAAUAUUCUCGGGAAACUGAGAGCAAUACCGUAUAAGCCCGAGAGGGGAAAGAUUUAUCGCCAGUAGAUGAGCCCGCGUCUGAUUAGCUAGUUGGUGAGGUAAUGGCUCACCAAGGCGACGAUCAGUAGCUGGUCUGAGAGGAUGAUCAGCCACACUGGGACUGAGACACGGCCCAGACUCCUACGGGAGGCAGCAGUGGGGAAUAUUGGACAAUGGGCGAAAGCCUGAUCCAGCCAUGCCGCGUGAGUGACGAAGGUCUUCGGAUUGUAAAGCUCUUUUGGCGGGGACGAUAAUGACGGUACCCGCAGAAUAAGCCCCGGCUAACUUCGU